AUCUAGCUGACGAUUCCAAAAUAGGACGAAACCAGAGUACUGGAU
rnacentral:hammerhead_ribozyme from 1 species